rnacentral:snoRNA from 1 species
AUUCUCUGUGAUGAGAAUCUUAUCAUAGACUUGUAUCGAGAUCCAUGAGGAUAAAACACUCUGAGGAGAC